rnacentral:rRNA from 1 species
ACCUAAGAGAUUAGGCGUUCCCUUCGGGGACGGAAUGACAGGUGGUGCAUGGUUGUCGUCAGCUCGUGUCGUGAGAUGUUGGGUUAAGUCCCGCAACGAGCGCAACCCUUAUUGUCAGUUGCCAGCAUUUAGUUGGGCACUCUGGCGAGACUGCCGGUGACAAACCGGAGGAAGGUGGGGAUGACGUCAAAUCAUCAUGCCCCUUAUGACCUGGGCUACACACGUGCUACAAUGGACGGUACAACGAGUCGCGAAACCGCGAGGUCAAGCUAAUCUCUUAAAGCCGUUCUCAGUUCGGAUUGUAGGCUGCAACUCGCCUACAUGAAGUUGGAAUCGCUAGUAAUCGUGGAUCAGCAUGCCACGGUGAAUACGUUCCCGGGUCUUGUACACACCGA